rnacentral:rRNA from 1 species
UACGAAGGGUGCAAGCGUUACUCGGAAUUACUGGGCGUAAAGAGCUCGUAGGCGGUUUGUCGCGUCUGCUGUGAAAACUCGAGGCUCAACCUCGGGCUUGCAGUGGGUACGGGCAGACUAGAGUGCGGUAGGGGUGACUGGAAUUCCUGGUGUAGCGGUGGAAUGCGCAGAUAUCAGGAGGAACACCGAUGGCGAAGGCAGGUCACUGGGCCGCAACUGACGCUGAGGAGCGAAAGCAUGGGGAGCGAACAGG